AUCUCAAAAACCAUGUGUCUUUAAAUUAAAUGCAUUUUGAGUUUCAUUUAAAUUCACCACAAUUGUCAUUCUGACCUUUUUCAGACAUAUUUCAUAAACUGAGUUAUAAAUGUAAAACUUUUAAGAAGAGUAUCUUCUUGGUUUGUUAGAAUUGAUACUUCUCCAAUUUUUGGAGAGGGAAGAUAAUGUAUGAUGUAUUAUUUAAAUUAUAUGUGGGCUAAAUCAUUUGUAACUAGGUGUGAGAAAAUGACAUAAUUGAGUAAGAAUGGUUGAAAAGGGCCCAUAUGAAUGAGAUUUCAAAACACUGAUUAUUUAAUUGCUUGUAAAUAUGUAGAAUGGAUUGCAAUCCCUGGAAAAGCCUCACAAAAAUGUUGUGGACUGAGGCAAGGACUCCAUUCUGCUUAUUUUGUUUGCCUUCUUAUUGGUGUAUCCAGGAGACGUUCACCUUAAUCGAGGAAAUCUUGAAGAUCACAUAAUAUACCUGAGGUAUUAGACUGGUAGAGCAAUAAUAUAAAAAUAAAUGUUCUUUUUUUGCAUUGCAUAGCCAUUAGGUAUAAAAAGUGCAACAUCUUAAAUAUUGCUAUCUCUGUUAUCUUCUAAAUGUAUGGUUUCACCAAAUAAGUGUUGGGCAGAUAUAAGAUAGGCCUUUAGUUCAAUUUCCCAUGCUCACUUACAUCCCAGGUCUUGCCAUAGUAGUGUGUUUACCAUUUUCCCCUGAUCCCACAGAGCAGAUUUCAUUAUGAUGACUAUACAGUCUGUUUCUAUAAACUGAUGAAUGCUCCAUCUGGUGGUAGCAAGAGGAAGUCUGCAGGACCAAAGAGAGAAUUAUUUUUCUGUGCAGGUGGUGGUGAACAUGUUCACUUUCCAAUUAUGAUAGCAAUAAAUCUAGUAACUUGACUGAAAUUCUGUAUGUGGUUAAGAAAAAUAUUAUUUAGUGCUUACUAACUGGGAAAUCUGAUGGUUAAAAAAGCAGACUAACUACUUUAGACAUCAGGUAUAGAUUAAUUCAACCAAAUUAUUUUAAAUGAGCAGGUUCUGAAAGAAGCUCAAUUAGCACCAUAACAGUCAUAAAGACUUGUGACUGAUCGCUGGCAUUUUUUGAAGCCUUUGUGAUGAUGAGGUCUCCUUGUUGCCUGUUAUUUUGCAGUGUGUGCUGCUGAGAUUGACUCAGAACAAGCAGUAAUGAACCUUUCAACAUUACAUCUUCAUUCUCUGUAAUCUGUUUUACUCUAAAUACGUUUUUAAGACCAUUUCUUGUCCAUUUCCAGAUACAUGGUUAACAUAUUUUGAAGCUUCUGCAGAAGAUCUUCAGCUGGUUGCCUCUGGCAACAGUGAUCGACCAGAAGGUGCUAAUAGUCACUGACCUGGCUCUGGUGGCCAUGGUGAACAGGCAUCCAGUGAGCCCAACCCCAAUGAAGCAACCAGGUUCAUCUUACUGAGGUUCUCCAGGGAUACAAACACUUCAACAAGUGAUACCUUCAUACAGAACAAGGUCACUGUAACAUGAAAUAGCUUAUGAGGAAAAUAACAAAUUGUACUGAUAUAAGGAAACACACUAAUUCACGGGAGGGAAGGUCACCUUGUCUGUGCCAGAAGUCAGAGUUUCAAUCCAGUUCUCAUGAAUCCUAACUACAUAUUUGUUGUGUAAUUGCUCCCCAAACACCUGCAUCUGAGGAGAGCAGCUGUUUCUCAGUUCUUUCGUACCUGACUGAGCUAUGCUGAGACAAAGAUGACAAAGAUACUGGAAGUGACCCCAUGACUCAGAAUGGUUGCAUAACCAAUAAACUUCAUGGUGGAGGCUGUUACUGGAGCCACAGUGUGACUGAGGACCUUUUGAACAGACACACCCUGCAUCUCUUCAUUCACUCCCAUGAGUGCAAGCAAGACGAAUAUGAGUUUUGUCAUAACUUCAAGCACACUGAACAGAUGUUGCUGGCAAGUCUUUACAGACACUGCUUGACUCUGGAGAACAUCUUCAGAAUAGUGGAUACAGAAAACUCUGGCCUCUUCUCUUUUGAGGGCUUCCACCGGACAUGAAAAUUGUUAAGUGCACUCUUGAAAACGGAGCUCUUCAACAAGGCCAACUUGGUGGUC